rnacentral:rRNA from 1 species
GAUGAACGCUGGCGGCGUGCUUAACACAUGCAAGUCGAACGGAAAGGCUCCUGCUUGCAGGGGUACUCGAGUGGCGAACGGGUGAGUAACACGUGGGUGAUCUGCCCUGCACUUCGGGAUAAGCCUGGGAAACUGGGUCUAAUACCGGAUAGGACGAUGGUUUGGAUGCCAUUGUGGAAAGUUUUUCGGUGUGGGAUGAGCUCGCGGCCUAUCAGCUUGUUGGUGGGGUAAUGGCCUACCAAGGCGUCGACGGGUAGCCGGCCUGAGAGGGUGUACGGCCACAUUGGGACUAAGGUAAGGCCGAGACGCGUAAGGGAGGCAGCAGUGGGGAAUAUUGCACAAUGGGCGCCAGCCGGAUGCAGCGACGCCGCGUGGGGGAUGACGGCCUUGGGGUUGUAAACUCCUUUCGCUAGGGACGAAGCGUUUUGUGACGGUACCUGGAGAAGAAGCACCGGCUAACUACGUG